rnacentral:rRNA from 1 species
GACGAACGCUGGCGGCGUGCUUAACACAUGCAAGUCGAACGGUGAAGCUCCAGCUUGCUGGAGUGGAUCAGUGGCGAACGGGUGAGUAACACGUGAGCAACCUGCCCCAGACUCUGGAAUAAGCGCUGGAAACGGCGUCUAAUACUGGAUACGAGAUCAAGCCGCAUGGUUAUGGUCUGGAAAGUUUUUCGGUUUGGGAUGGGCUCGCGGCCUAUCAGCUUGUUGGUGAGGUAAUGGCUGACCAAGGCGACGACGGGUAGCCGGCCUGGGAGGGCGACCGGCCACACUGGGACUGAGACACGGCCCAGACUCCUACGGGAGGCAGCAGUGGGGAAUAUUGCACAAUGGGCGAAAGCCUGAUGCAGCGACGCCGCGUGAGGGAUGACGGCCUUCGGGUUGUAAACCUCUUUCAGCAGGGAAGAAGCGAAAGUGACGGUACCUGCAGAAGAAGCACCGGCUAACUACGUG